rnacentral:lncRNA from 1 species
GGUCCUAAAUCCAAAUUUUGGGGUCAUUUUCAGGGGUCCCAAUCCCAAAUUUUGGGGUCAUUUUGGGGGGUCUCAGUCCCAAAUUUGGGGUAAUUUUGGGGGGUCUCAGUCCCAAAUUUGGGGUCACUUUGGGGGGUCCUGGGGGUCUUUGGGGGGCUCUGGGACCACCCCAAAAUUUUGGGGUUUUUUCGGGGGGUCUGGGACCAUCUCGGGGGUCCCUCCAUGGAUUUGGGGGUCCCUGGGGGUCUCCUGAGGGGUCUGGGGGUCCAAAUUCUGGGCUGGGGUCUCCUCUGGGGCUGAAGACCCCAGACCCACAAUUGGGGUCUCCUUGGGGGGCUCCAUUGGGGUCUCUUCACACCCUGAAGACCCCAGACCCACAAUUGGGGUCUCCUUGGGGAUCUCCACCAGGUUCUCCCCAUGGGGUGAAGACCCCAGACCCACAAUUGGGGUCUCCUCGGGGGUCUCCCCAUGCACCGAUCCCACCACCACAACCUCCCCAGAAGCCCCCAGACCCACGACCACCUUCUCCCUUGUGACCUGGGGGACCGGAGACCCCAGACCCACAACCACAACCUCCUCCUUUGGAACAUGUGGGACCCCAGCCAGGUUCUCCCCAUGGCCUGAAGACCCCAGACCCACAACCACAACCUCCUCCUUUGGAACAUGUGGGACCCCAACCACAUUCUCCCCAUGGUUUGAAGACCCCAACCCAACCCCUACCACAUUCUCCCCAUGGCCUGAAGACCCCAGACCCACAACCACCACCUCCUCCUUUGGAACCUGUGGGACCCCAGCCAGGUUCUCCCCAUGGUUUGAAGCCCCCAUCCCCAUCUCAACCAGGUUCUCCCCAUGGCCUGAAGACCCCAUCCCCACCACAACCUCCUCCUUUGGAACAUGUGGGACCCCAACCAUGUUCUCCCCAUGGACCGGAGACCCCAGACCCACCAUGACCUUCACAACGUCCUGUGAAGGUUGUGGGACCCC